GGUUGUUUAUUCACUGAAGUAUAGAUCUUGCUUUAUUCUGACAUCACUGUUGAACUAGUUAAUGAACCAGGGUGAAGAACUUGGUACUUACAAUGUACUUCACCAGAAUGAAACAGGGGUCAACAAUUUUCCUACAUGUUAGCAAAUCUGCCCUGUAAACAGAAUCAAGAUCAGCUUUGUUUUUUAUCUACUCCCUUGAACACUAAAAUUAACUAUGACUGCCAAUGGGGCUUAGUACCACCAAUAGCUUCAGACAAGCUACAGGGGAGAGAUAAGACUCACAGCCUGAGCAGAGAACCCUAUUGUCUUGGGUCUUUCCAGGCAUCCUACUGGAGAACCCCACUGCUGCCUUCUGCCAUCCCAAUCAAUAGUGUGAAAAACAGCUGUUCGCCAACAAAAGCCCAAAGAAGCCCGUAUCACCAGGGAAGCACCUUCCUGUGGAUGAGACACUUGCUAGAAUGUGUGGCCCUGGAGUUGCAAGUUCACAGCUACCUGGUGAGCUGUGAAAAGUAGAACCUAAGUUCCCACCUUAGUAGGAUGAGGCUUCUCAUGUGUUACACAGAAAGGAAACUAAGACAGGGGUCCAAAGAAGUCUUCAGGCACAACGAAGGCUUAUUUUGUGGAAAUAGUUACCGGCAGGCCACCAUCUCUACUGAGGACAGAACAAGAGGAAUGAGGUUCAUGCUGUGACACCAGGGAUUAAGAAAGAAGUGUUAUUAAAUGAAUCCAGUAGAUCCUGCGACAUUUUUCAGACCCUGUUUUUAAGUGCUGGAUCUGA